ensembl:lncRNA
AGAAGUACAUAGGGUACUGAGAACUUCAUAGACAGAAUGAAAAGGAAAAAUAGAAGAAGGUCCAAGAAGCUCUCCCUGAGGUCGUAGAGCCACCAUUUCGGCAGGCUCUGAUCCCAGCGAUGGAGACCUCUGGUCAACGCCCCCAGAAUUCCACCUCAGCCGGACCUCCUAGAUUGUAUCCACGGCUCCUGGACAGAAUCUUAGAACUGCACUGCCUGCUCAUACGAUCAAUGCUGCCUCUUGGCACAGACAGAAACCUCCGGGGAUUCAGCUGAAAAGCACGCUGCCUUUUGAACACCUGGAAGUGGACUUCACUGAAAUGAAACCUCACCGACACUACCGUUACCUGCUGGUCAUGGUAUGUACAUUCUCGGGAUGGUUAGAAGCUUUUCCUACCUGGACUGAAAGAGCGUCAGAAGUAGCCCGGUGUCUGCUUAGGGAGAUAGUUCCCAGAUUUGGAUCUCCACCAGCAUUGGAUCAGACAAUGGCCUGGCUUUUGUAGCUGAUUUAGUACAACAAGUAAACAAAACUUUAAACAGCAAGUGGAAAUUACAUACAGCAUAUAGGCCCCAGAGUUCUGGGAACCAACCGGACACUUAAAAGAGAUAUUCUCCAACUGGAUCAUAGAGACUGACUGUGGGGGGACUUGUUUCCAAUGGCUCUGCUCAGACUCAGGAUGACCCCACGGUCCCAUGACUAUUCUCCAUAUGAAACAGUGUAUGGGAGGCCCCCUCCCAUAAUAAAACAGGUGUCAACAAAUUUGCCUCAGUUCAAGUUGCAGCUGUCACUCCCUGGAUCCACCACAUGAGGAUGAAGAGAACGUACCAUGCAGACCCAGAAAAUGCUGGGUGGACUGAGCAGAGGGACCCCACUGACCCUCAAGAGACUAAGAUCAUCCUUAAGAAGAAGGAAAAGAAGAUCCUGGACGAGCCCCUUCAGGAUGAAGCCACAUAAUCAACUCCUGCUGUUUGGCCUCAUCAACGUGAUUUUGAAUUUAACUUCCAUUUCCAUUGAGGACAAUGUUUUCAUCUCAUGGGCACAUUCCUACGCGGACUUCCACAACACCUCCAACUACUGGGUACAUGGGGCUAUGCCUCUUUCUGUGACAGACGGACUUCCUUGGUGGGUGUCACCGCUCCACCAAUGAGAUUUUAAACCACUCUGCUCUUUUCUGGAAUGACAAAAAGAGACUUUCCUUUCUCUUGUCAAUCAUAAUCUCUCCUUGCUUUCUUGGUGUAAGCCAGACCUACAGUCAGUAGACUUGGAUCAUUGGGUGACAUUUGAUGUAAACACCAGUUUCACAGAAGUAACAAAAGCCUAUAACUCAUAUUUAAAGAACAAAAAGGAAAAAAUCUCCCUGACCAGCAAGGGAGGACAGGCCUCUAGGUAUGCUGAACAAUUUUACCAAGUCUGGGAUGAACAGUUC